UACGAAGGGGGCUAGCGUUGCUCGGAAUCACUGGGCGUAAAGCGCACGUAGGCGGAUUGCUAAGUCAGGGGUGAAAUCCUGGAGCCCAACUCCAGAACUGCCCUUGAUACUGGCGGUCUCGAGUCCGGGAGAGGUGAGUGGAACUGCGAGUGUAGAGGUGAAAUGCGUAGAGAUCUGCAAGAAUACCCGUGGCGAAGGCGGCCAACUGGGCCGGUUCUGACGCUGAGGCGCGAAAGCGUGGGGAGCAAACAGG
rnacentral:rRNA from 1 species